GAUGAAGAACGUAGCGAAAUGCGAUACGUAAUGUGAAUUGCAGAAUUCCGUGAAUCAUCGAAUCUUUGAACGCACAUUGCGCCCCCUGGCAUUCCGGGGGGCAUGCCUGUCCGAGCGUCAUUUCUGCCCUCAAGCACGGCUUGUGUGUUGGGUGCGGUCCCCCCGGGGACCUGCCCGAAAGGCAGCGGCGACGUCCGUCUGGUCCUCGAGCGUAUGGGGCUCUGUCACUCGCUCGGGAAGGACCUGCGGGGGUUGGUCACCACUAUAUUUUACCACGGUUGACCUCGGAUCAGGUAGGAGUUACCCGCUGAACUUAAGCAUAUCAAUAAGCGGAGGA
rnacentral:misc_RNA from 1 species